rnacentral:rRNA from 1 species
CCUACGGGGGGCUGCAGUGGGGAAUAUUGGACAAUGGGGGCAACCCUGAUCCAGCCAUGCCGCGUGUGUGAAGAAGGCCCUCGGGUUGUAAAGCACUUUCAGUGAGGAAGAACGCCUGGUGGUUAAUACCCAUCAGGAAAGACAUCACUCACAGAAGAAGCACCGGCUAACCCCGUGCCAGCAGCCGCGGUAAUACGGAGGGUGCGAGCGUUAAUCGGAAUUACUGGGCGUAAAGCGCGCGUAGGUGGCUUGAUAAGCCGGUUGUGAAAGCCCCGGGCUCAACCUGGGAACGGCAUCCGGAACUGUCAAGCUAGAGUGCAGGAGAGGAAGGUAGAAUUCCCGGUGUAGCGGUGAAAUGCGUAGAGAUCGGGAGGAAUACCAGUGGCGAAGGCGGCCUUCUGGACUGACACUGACACUGAGGUGCGAAAGCGUGGGUAGCAAACAGGAUUAGAUACCCCAGUAGUC